ACAUUUCAUUAGCUGAUACAUACAUGAUAUGAGAGAAAGUUUUUAAAUCUUGAUGUGGAAAAAUAUAGUUUUGUAUCAAAACAAAAAAUUGUUUACCUUUAGUUUUAAUCCAAAAGAAGGUAACUUCAAAUUUGAUGACAUCUCUUCCUCCAUUCAUCUUCAACAAAAGGCCAAACAAUAAUUUGGUUGAUGACGGAAAUCGUGCGAUUAGGGUUCUCAUAUUUCAGAGUUCAAAAGAUAUCUCUCCUCUGUAAGUUAUAUAAACGCAUUGUGAGAUAUACAAUAUAAAAAAUUGUUAAAAUAAAAUUGAAAGACAAAUUGAUAUCUCGGAUUACAAACGAAUGUAACAAUCAACGUGAAUUAAUUUUGUUCAGGAUAGAAGAAAGCAAAUCCAACUUCAUUAAAAAAAUUUAGGCAAUCAAGUAGAUAUAAUAUUUAAUAAAAAACGAGAACAUUACUUACAAUAUCCAAUCAUUUAGAUGAUCUAGUGUGAUCUCAUAAAAUCAAUAUUAUUUCUGAAAACUAAAUUGAAGAUAUACACAAAGACUUACUCUUGCUGAAUCGGGACAAUAACAAAUGGAUAGGAACCUUAGGAA
rnacentral:lncRNA from 1 species